UUCUUUAUCUCUCUCUCCAUCAGUCUUUAGAGUCAGUUCCCUUCUCGCAGCUAUGUAGUUAGGUGCAUUAGGUGUUCUCGCUCACUCUCUCUUUCUCUCUCCCUCUCUCUUUUUUCUCUUUUUUUCUUUUACUCUCUCACACAUCUACCCAUAGACAUCUACUCCCUAUCAGGCUGUCUCUGUUUUCUAAUUUCUCUUCUAACCUCCCUCAUUGCUGUAUUCCUCUUGAGAGUUUCCACUUCAUGUGCAACAACUGGUAGCUCUCCCCCUUUUUCUCCUCCUCUUCUCUUCUCUUGUGUGGAAGGUCCGCUUAUCUUCCAGCACCUGUGCUUUGAAGGGUGUUGGAGUGCAAAGUAGGGAGGGUGGGGGGUUCCUAUGGUUUUUGGGUGCAAGCCAAGGAGGCAAGAGGAAGCCACGAGGUUUAGAGCUUCUUUACGGCGUCAUCAUCAUCAGCGGUAGCAGCGACAGCAGCUUCAGCAGCAGAGGCGGCAGAAACGACAGAAUAGGCAGCGCAUCCCUCAGUCUAGCGCUCACUCCGCUGCUCGAGAGGAACAGGAGAAGAGGAGCUUGUGGCUUUGUGCUCGGUCUGAGAGCUGCAGAGAAAAGAGAAACAGAGUAACAGGGAGAGACUGACAGGCAUCCUUGGAUCCUGGCUUGUGUAUCUCCCUGUCAUGUGGAGCCUCUGUGAACAUCUGGAAAAACCCACAACUGCUACCAGAUGAGUCUCCAGUUCACCAUUCAGAUGCAACAUUUGGCUGGCUUGCCUUGUGAAAAAAUGCCUCAUCUUCAAUCAGUCCCCCCCCUAGAGAGAAGGUCUCUGGUGUUGGCCUGUGUGCCACGGUGGAUGUAUGAGUGUCAGGCACUUCCCUCCUCCCUCUUCUUUCUGAGGCUCUCUUCGGUGACGGGUAUUCUUGGGUGGAUAAUACGGAUCACGUUGUUAUUGCUUAAGAAUACGCGUAGUUGAGGAGAGUCAUUUUCGACCGUGCCUUCAGGGAGCUGACCUCGGCUUAACCGCUCUCCAGACGUCCUAGCCGAGCACUGUUGUUAGAGGAGGGGGGAAAAAAAGAAGGGAAAAGAGUGAACGUUUCUAUCGAGGUUCAUUUAUCAGUGCAGCAGAUAAUCAUUUCCCCAGCGUUUGCAUUGAUUUCUCUACGGCAAGCCUUCAUGUUGUUAUUAUUCCAGCGUUCUAGCGAGGUGUAUCAGGAGGCUGGCAUUUCCUGCUUGCCGAGACUUCAUCCGUAUCCGCUGUGCAUUUAUAUUUCUCCCACCAUCUCGCUAUCAUCCAUCCUGCCAAAGUGAUGUUUUAUGUAGUGCUAUUCAACCACUCUGCAUUCUGCAUUUCACACAAUUUGCUUGGUUUGCUUAGGGGGUGGUGUGUGGGGUAGUGGUGAUGGUGGUGGGGGGGUUACAGCCUGUUUAUUCUUUACUCUCUUCAGGGAGCGUUUCAGUGUGCACACGCCAUCUCGCCUCUCUGAUGGGAAUGCAUUUACUGCUUUUUAUUCUUGGGCCUUUAAAGGCUCUGCGAUCCCUGGACUACGCUGAGUGCACACUCACCCUGAUGAUGAGAAGGCACAAAAUGCAUAUGAAGGCCUCAUUUAGACAGACAAAGAUAAUAUAUUUUAUAGCACAGCUUGAGAAAUAGUGAAACGCCGUAUUCUACUCAAGAAAUCCAGACACAUAGCUGAGUCUAUCUAGCAUUCUUCACACGGCCCCUUGUGACUGCCUCUAUACAGCUGAAACGUCUUGAACGGCUUUCCUCCUACUGAUAAAAAGCCUUUACGCAAAAUGAUGUGCUCUGUAAAAACACUAAUUGCAUUUUAAUGAUGCUCACCAAACGUCUGACGUGUGUUUCUGAAGCCCAGUGAAGCCUGUGCCACAUGAUAAUGACCAUCACUUUCCAUAUAGUCGGCCCAUUUAAAUGCCAUCACAUUCAUCUUCAAAAGCAUAAUAUAUUAACCAAAGAGCAGCGAUUCAUUACGCUCAAUCAAAUAACUCGGAAGUGGAGCAUCUUACUUAUAUCAGUAGUCCUUAUUUGUUAUGGAUUAUAGAGUACAGAACCAAAGACUUCUUCUUUUUUUUUUUUUGCAUUCAGAUUAAUUGUAGUUCAUUUGUUUAAGAUGAAAAUGAAACUGUUCUGCUUAAGACCAGAGAUUUAAUUGAUUAAGCUGUGAAAUAAUAUAGAAACAUCUUAAAACCAGACACAUGUAAAGUGCUGGCCUAACCAAUAUUUUACAGAUCGUCCCUUCUUACCGUCUUACUUCGUGCAGCUACAAUGCCGCAAAUAGUUUUUCUCAACUCAAUUCUAACAAACGUCCAAGUAUGACCGCACCAUGAAAGAUUUCUCGCUUUGUUCCUUAAAAAAAGGAUAAAAAAUUAGCAUCUUAACGUACACAUCCGUUCAUUAAUGAAAUUCAUUCUUAGUUCUCAAAGUGCAAAACUGCCCAGAAACCAAAAGUGCAAGUAAAAAAAAAAAAGAAAAAAAAAGAAAGAAAGAAAUAAUUUCAAUAAACUGCUUAAUUUAUUUUUUUUUUUAAGAUCUGUCCAUGAUCCAGAUAGCAAUUAAAGACAUCUUGAACAUUUAAAUAGCUGCUUUGUUAGUGCAGAGUGGAAUAUAGAUUGAAGGUAGAGUUCCCCAGUGAAUAAUUACCGCGGUAAAAUUUAAAAAAAAAAAAAAAAAAAGGAUUUAAAUUAAUUCCUUUUUUAAGAGGCUAAAACACCACUCUGGUUAUUUCCACAGAUGAAAUUAAAAGCAUUGUUAGAAUGUUAUUAAGCAUUUUGAAUGGGGGGAAGCAGUGAAGUAGAAUCAAUUGCUCAAAAAGCGCUGGAGCAAGGUGAUUGGAGUAUGUUGAUGAAUUCUUAAUACAGACAUCAAUAUUUCUGAUAGACUUCUUUUUACUCACAGCUAAUUGCACUAAAACGGAUUGAAACGACAAAUUCUCUGUCAGCAAACUGCUUAUAUGCAGUGUUUAAGUCAAAGUCUUAGUAUACAUUCCACUUUUAAUCAAAGUUAGAAGCUGAGACUCCAGAUUAGAUGAUUCAUCUGGACUCCAGUGUUGAGGGUUCAUCAGGGUUCAGUUUUGAAGGUUCAUAUUCUUGAUUAAUCAUCUGAUAAAAACCUACCGGAAGUUUCUCUAGGCCUGAUCCGAAUGUGAGCUGUCUCCCAGUACUGAACAUGACACAAGCUUCUGCCAGAUUCAGACACCUGGAUUAUGGAGAACUAGAUUUUAGGGGUACAGAGAUUAUGACUAUUAAUAGAUUAUUUAUUUCUUAUUUUCCCUUUCAAACCAAAUUCAUAUUUUUAAUUGUCGUUUUAUUCUUAGAGUCUCGCUUCUACUGUAACAUCGUACCAUUUGCAGUAUAUGUUUAUUAAAAUGACUUAUGUACUGUACCAGCUUUUUGUGUAAAGAUACAUUGUGUAACGACUUGGCCAUGUACCGACAGUCAGUUUAACCAUACGUCAUGCACAGCCAUACGUCGUGCAUUUGUCUUAUUUAAGAGGACAUCCUGUUGAUCAUUAUUUAAGGUUGAAAUACUGCCCAAUGGAAACUGAUUCAGAUAUGAAUGUACUACUUUGUUGUCAUUACAUGUUACUGUGAUAUGAAAAUGUAAUCUCGGUACAAGCCUGCUACUGUAUAGACAGCAUAACAUGUUUAGCAUAACAGUGCAAUUUCUCAUGAUGCCUUUUAAAGAAAAUCCAUGUCUGCUUUUUUUCUUCAAUAAAUGCACAAUUUAAG